UACAGAGGGUGCGAGCGUUAAUCGGAAUUACUGGGCGUAAAGCGAGUGUAGGUGGCUCAUUAAGUCACAUGUGAAAUCCCCGGGCUUAACCUGGGAACUGCAUGUGAUACUGGUGGUGCUAGAAUAUGUGAGAGGGAAGUAGAAUUCCAGGUGUAGCGGUGAAAUGCGUAGAGAUCUGGAGGAAUACCGAUGGCGAAGGCAGCUUCCUGGCAUAAUAUUGACACUGAGAUUCGAAAGCGUGGGUA
rnacentral:rRNA from 1 species